rnacentral:rRNA from 1 species
CCUACGGGAGGCAGCAGUGAGGAAUAUUGGUCAAUGGACGAGAGUCUGAACCAGCCAAGUAGCGUGAAGGAUGACUGCCCUAUGGGUUGUAAACUUCUUUUAUAUGGGAAUAAAACGUUCCACGUGUGGGAUUUUGUAUGUACCAUAUGAAUAAGGAUCGGCUAACUCCGUGCCAGCAGCCGCGGUAAUACGGAGGAUCCGAGCGUUAUCCGGAUUUAUUGGGUUUAAUGGGAGCGUAGGUGGAUUGUUAAGUCAGUUGUGAAAGUUUGCGGCUCAACCGUAAAAUUGCAGUUGAAACUGGCAGUCUUGAGUACAGUAGAGGUGGGCGGAAUUCGUGGUGUAGCGGUGAAAUGCUUAGAUAUCACGAAGAACUCCGAUUGCGAAGGCAGUUCACUGGACUGCAACUGACACUGAGGCUCGAAAGUGUGGGUAUCAAACAGGAUUAGAUACCCCAGUAGUC